rnacentral:rRNA from 1 species
UACGUAGGUGGCAAGCGUUGUCCGGAUUUAUUGGGUUUAAAGGGUGCGUAGGCGGCCCUGUAAGUCAGUGGUGAAAUACGGCAGCUCAACUGUCGAGGUGCCAUUGAUACUGCAGGGCUUGAGUACAGACGAGGUAGGCGGAAUUGACGGUGUAGCGGUGAAAUGCUUAGAUAUCGUCAAGAACACCGAUAGCGAAGGCAGCUUACUAGGCUGUAACUGACGCUGAGGCACGAAGGUGCGGGGAUCAAACAGG